rnacentral:rRNA from 1 species
CGGGACACGUGGUAUCCUGUCUGAAUAUGGGGGGACCAUCCUCCAAGGCUAAAUACUCCUGACUGACCGAUAGUGAACCAGUACCGUGAGGGAAAGGCGAAAAGAACCCCGGCGAGGGGAGUGAAAAAGAACCUGAAACCGUGUACGUACAAGCAGUGGGAGCACGCUUAGGCGUGUGACUGCGUACCUUUUGUAUAAUGGGUCAGCGACUUAUAUUCUGUAGCAAGGUUAACCGAAUAGGGGAGCCGAAGGGAAACCGAGUCUUAACUGGGCGUUAAGUUGCAGGGUAUAGACCCGAAACCCGGUGAUCUAGCCAUGGGCAGGUUGAAGGUUGGGUAACACUAACUGGAGGACCGAACCGACUAAUGUUGAAAAAUUAGCGGAUGACUUGUGGCUGGGGGUGAAAGGCCAAUCAAACCGGGAGAUAGCUGGUUCUCCCCGAAAGCUAUUUAGGUAGCGCCUCGUGAAUUCAUCUCCGGGGGUAGAGCACUGUUUCGGCAAGGGGGUCAUCCCGACUUACCAACCCGAUGCAAACUGCGAAUACCGGAGAAUGUUAUCACGGGAGACACACGGCGGGUGCUAACGUCCGUCGUGAAGAGGGAAACAACCCAGACCGCCAGCUAAGGUCCCAAAGUCAUGGUUAAGUGGGAAACGAUGUGGGAAGGCCCAGACAGCCAGGAUGUUGGCUUAGAAGCAGCCAUCAUUUAAAGAAAGCGUAAUAGCUCACUGGUCGAGUCGGCCUGCGCGGAAGAUGUAACGGGGCUAAACCAUGCACCGAAGCUGCGGCAGCGACGCUUAUGCGUUGUUGGGUAGGGGAGCGUUCUGUAAGCCUGCGAAGGUGUGCUGUGAGGCAUGCUGGAGGUAUCAGAAGUGCGAAUGCUGACAUAAGUAACGAUAAAGCGGGUGAAAAGCCCGCUCGCCGGAAGACCAAGGGUUCCUGUCCAACGUUAAUCGGGGCAGGGUGAGUCGACCCCUAAGGCGAGGCCGAAAGGCGUAGUCGAUGGGAAACAGGUUAAUAUUCCUGUACUUGGUGUUACUGCGAAGGGGGGACGGAGAAGGCUAUGUUGGCCGGGCGACGGUUGUCCCGGUUUAAGCGUGUAGGCUGGUUUUCCAGGCAAAUCCGGAAAAUCAAGGCUGAGGCGUGAUGACGAGGCACUACGGUGCUGAAGCAACAAAUGCCCUGCUUCCAGGAAAAGCCUCUAAGCAUCAGGUAACAUCAAAUCGUACCCCAAACCGACACAGGUGGUCAGGUAGAGAAUACCAAGGCGCUUGAGAGAACUCGGGUGAAGGAACUAGGCAAAAUGGUGCCGUAACUUCGGGAGAAGGCACGCUGAUAUGUAGGUGAAGUCCCUCGCGGAUGGAGCUGAAAUCAGUCGAAGAUACCAGCUGGCUGCAACUGUUUAUUAAAAACACAGCACUGUGCAAACACGAAAGUGGACGUAUACGGUGUGACGCCUGCCCGGUGCCGGAAGGUUAAUUGAUGGGGUCAGCGCAAGCGAAGCUCUUGAUCGAAGCCCCGGUAAACGGCGGCCGUAACUAUAACGGUCCUAAGGUAGCGAAAUUCCUUGUCGGGUAAGUUCCGACCUGCACGAAUGGCGUAAUGAUGGCCAGGCUGUCUCCACCCGAGACUCAGUGAAAUUGAACUCGCUGUGAAGAUGCAGUGUACCCGCGGCAAGACGGAAAGACCCCGUGAACCUUUACUAUAGCUUGACACUGAACAUUGAGCCUUGAUGUGUAGGAUAGGUGGGAGGCUUUGAAGUGUGGACGCCAGUCUGCAUGGAGCCGGCCUUGAAAUACCACCCUUUAAUGUUUGAUGUUCUAACGUUGACCCGUAAUCCGGGUUGCGGACAGUGUCUGGUGGGUAGUUUGACUGGGGCGGUCUCCUCCUAAAGAGUAACGGAGGAGCACGAAGGUUGGCUAAUCCUGGUCGGACAUCAGGAGGUUAGUGCAAUGGCAUAAGCCAGCUUGACUGCGAGCGUGACGGCGCGAGCAGGUGCGAAAGCAGGUCAUAGUGAUCCGGUGGUUCUGAAUGGAAGGGCCAUCGCUCAACGGAUAAAAGGUACUCCGGGGAUAACAGGCUGAUACCGCCCAAGAGUUCAUAUCGACGGCGGUGUUUGGCACCUCGAUGUCGGCUCAUCACAUCCUGGGGCUGAAGUAGGUCCCAAGGGUAUGGCUGUUCGCCAUUUAAAGUGGUACGCGAGCUGGGUUUAGAACGUCGUGAGACAGUUCGGUCCCUAUCUGCCGUGGGCGCUGGAGAACUGAGGGGGGCUGCUCCUAGUACGAGAGGACCGGAGUGGACGCAUCACUGGUGUUCGGGUUGUCAUGCCAAUGGCACUGCCCGGUAGCUAAAUGCGGAAGAGAUAAGUGCUGAAAGCAUCUAAGCACGAAACUUGCCCCGAGAUGAGUUCUCCCUGACUCCUUGAGAGUCCUGAAGGAACGUUGAAGACGACGACGUUGAUAGGCCGGGUGUGUAAGCGCAGCGAUGCGUUGAGCUAACCGGUACUAAUGAACCGUGAGGCUUAACCUUACAACGCCGAAGGUGUUU